CCGGAUUUAUUGGGUUUAAAGGGUGCGCAGGCGGGGAUUUAGGUCGGCGGUGAAAUUUCGGGGCUCAACCUCGAUAGUGCCGUUGAAACCGUUUCUCUUGAGUGCGGAUGAGGUAGGCGGAAUUUGUGGUGUAGCGGUGAAAUGCGUAGAUAUCACAAGGAGCACCGAUUGCGGAGGCAGCUUACUAAACCGUUACUGACGCUCAUGCACGAAGGCGUGGGGAUCAAACAGGAUUAGAUACCCUGGUAGUCCACGCAGUAAACGAUGAUUACUUGCUGUUUGCGAUACACUGUAAGCGGCGUAGCGAAAGCGUUAAGUAAUCCACCUGGGGAGUACGUUCGCAAGAAUGAAACUCAAAGGAAUUGACGGGGGCCCGCACAAGCGGAGGAACAUGUGGUUUAAUUCGAUGAUACGCGAGGAACCUUACC
rnacentral:rRNA from 1 species